rnacentral:lncRNA from 1 species
AGGUGUCUUCUGAGAAGUCAUUUUGAUACAGUAUGAAUUCAAUAAGACAAGUCUUCCAUUGAGCAUGCUUGGGCAAGUACAGCUGGAAUAGAAAAGAUAGACAGUGGAUUCUUUGGCUUCAUCCAAGUGGGCUGAGGAUUGAAGUAUUUUUCCAGUCAUGUUCUUGAACACCUACUUUCAUGGCAUGCUGACAUUUCCAGACUACUGAAGAUGUGAUGAUUAACUGAUCCUGCAUUUGAUGAAAAAAAAAGUUUGCACAUUCCAAAGGAGAUAGGUUUCAAAUGACUAUAUAGGGUACAAUUUCCACUGAAGUGAUUUCUCUUAAUCUUAAUCCUUAACCACUCUCAUUGCUACAGUACCUUCCAAAAGUAAGCAUAGUUCAUAAAGUCUUCAGACUGCCUUUUAGCACAUUAACAUACUCUUCACAAUCCCACAAUAAAAGCACCUUAAGUGCAGGGAUAUUUUUCUUUAUUUUCUUUCUUUCCUUCCCUCUCUCUUUCCUUCAUUUCUUCUUUCUUUCUUUCCUUCCUCCCUCCCUUCUCCCCACCUCCCUCUCUCUCUCUUUCUUUUCUUUCUUAUCCUCGGUGCCUAAGAAUUUGUUCUAUAGAAGUCUAUUUGAAUGAAUGCAUGGAGAUACCUAAAGUAAGUGAUUCUGAGGUACAGUGAUACUUGAUCACCUAUAUGUAAAAUUACUAUCAUAAGGAAAGUGAGGCUGGGCAUGGUGGCUCAUGCCUGUAAUCCCAGCACUUUGGGAGGCUGAGGCGGGUGGAUCACCUGAGGUCAGGUGUUUGAGACCAGCCUGGUCAACAUGGUGAAACCCCGUCUCUACUAAAAAUACAAAAAUUAGCCGGGCGUGGUGGCACGCGCCUAUAGUCCCAGCUACUCGGGAGGCUGAGGCAGGAGAAUCACUUGAACCCGGGAGAUGGAGGUUGCAGUGAGCCAAGACUGUGCCACUGCACUCCAGCCUGGGUGACAGAGUAAGAC